CCAAGCCCUCUGCCCUGCAGGGAAGGCUACCAUGUGCUGCACCAGGCACCCAAAGCUGCUGAACAGAAUAAAUUAGCUGUUUGUGGAGAAGAAAGGAGCGUUAGGAAGAAGCUGCUUGAUUGUAGAGAGAGCGGUUAUUCAGGGGCAAGGAGCUGGGUGGGAUUGGGGAUGUGCAUGGGCACGCAGACACCAUUGGGUACCUCCGUGGGGCUGGGGGGUCCCAACCCUCAUCCCCAGUCCCGAGGACACCGCUUGGAGAGGGGAUGGUGAUGGGAGCAGGGAGAGUUACAGGAGACAGUGGUGGGAUGGUCACUGGGCACGUGGAGCUCUUUGCACUGCAGAACAAAGAUGUCGUGUCCCAGAGGGUGGUAAAAGAUAUUUAUGGGUUGCCAUGCAGGCCGUAAUUGAAUGACAUUAGAGUGGUGGGAUUUUUUUAAAAAACCCUAAAUCAUUCCAGAGCUCUCGCUACUGUUUUAAAUUGUAACUUGGCUUUUUAAAAGUUUAUCGUGCACUAAUUCAUCCAGCUCGUUCAUUUACAUUCUGCUGACAGGGUAUAAAACUGCUGCUUUUUUCAUCCCAGAAAAUUCUAACUUUGCAAUUUAUGGUGCCUUUUUGAUUUAAUCAGGAUAUUUCCUAAAUUCCAUGGCACUAACAUGGCAUUUUUCAAGAAGCACCUGAAAGAUGUCUGGCUGUUAUUUACGCCCCGGUGCAGCCAGUGUUCCUGGUGUGUCCCCACGAGCUGCUGAUGGCUGUACCCAGCUGGGGCGCUCCCAUGGGAAUCGCCAGAGCCUGUCCCCAUCCCAGGGGAGCAUCACCUGCAGAGGCCCUUUUGCCUUGCUCCAGAGAGCCGGUGUCAUGCCGUUACAUGCUGAAACACUGUUAUUUCACUCUUCCGAACGCUGUCAGAGCAAGUCACAGGAGGGAUUAUUUUUGGCUCUCUCCAGCGUAGUUACCUAGCAAUUUGCACGAGGCUUGGCAUUACUGGGUAGUUACUCGAGCCGUGUGAGCUGCUUUGCAGCAGGCACUUCAUUUGUCAAAUUUAGUUCCUUUUACUGUUCGCAAAUAGUCCAGACACCAGCUUGGAGUCUUACAAAUUUGUUCUCUGUUGGAAAAAUUUCAGCCCUGUUGGUUGUUUGUGAAAUAUUUCCUCUGAUCAUUGCUUCUGAGCGCCUGCCUGGGCGCAGCCACCCCGACGGAGCCUCCAUUCCCUGCACGAGGAAGAGAAAGCCACAGCAUAUCCUGGUAUCGAUGCUCUUUAGGACAUUGCUUGGAAAUGUCUUCCAGUAUUUGACUUUUCAAGUUCCUCAGGUUGAAAAGAAAUAACGUGCCAACUUCUUCCUCUUCUGGCUUCUCGCUGUGUCCUGGCUUCUCAUGGAUUUCAGCGCACACAGCAUCGCUGCUUUAAUGAGCCAUAAAUGAACUUGAAGAAUAGUAGUGAAGAGCUGUUGUUAUUCAGCUAAUAAGCAAUAUUGAUUGCUCGAAAGCAGAAGAGUUGCUGCCUUCCAUCUUCCCAGCGCCUCCCCUCUGCUUCCCCCUCUGCUCCCCCAAGCCCAGCGUGUGCGGCACCGUGAGGCGAGUGCUGUAGCUGAAGGACAUCCAUUUAAUCUCAUCAGCAUCACAGUGCGCUCGUUCUUCUGCGAGCAGCUUCUGUGCACGCGAGAUGAUGCUAUCAGGUACACCCGGCGCUUUCCAGAGGAAAUGUGUUUAUAAAACUUUGCUCCCACGGCACAUAAAUGUUUGUUAGCUCCAUUAUCCCCAUCAUUUUGUUCUCCAAAGUGUUGCAAAGAAGAUGAAAUGAGAGUGAUGGUGCUUUUGGAGCUCCAGUGCACGCUGGAUGUUUGCUUUAAAUAGAAUUAACCAUGCAAAUUGAAUCAUGUGAGUGUAAAUUAGCGUUCAUUUCGCUGGUGUUCUUGGUACCGCUUAACCUACCAUUUACCCCAAGACAUCUGCUAAGUGCCAUUCUUUCAAGUACUUAAACAGCACCUAUUGCUACCAAAAAAAUCCCGGCCCCACGGAACAACAAAGCUGCUGGAAAGCCUGUAAUUAUCAUCAGAGGACUAUUGUGGCUGCAGGAGGGAGCGGGUGCGCGGCUCCCCGGCGCUGGUGCCCGCUCACAGCAGAGGCAGCGCGGGGCCGGGCGCUGCUCACACGCUGCUGCAGCUUGCUGAGGUUUGCUGGGGCCUGGGAGGGCUGGAUUCGGCCCCAGACCCUGCUCGGCUUCGGGCUGGGUGCUGGGAGGCAGCCCAAUCCAGCACGGGGGCUGGUGAGAUGUGCAUGGCAAGCAGAUGAGCAGCAGCUUCUUUCCCACCACCUGCCCCGGCGAGGCUCCAGCACGAGGCAGAGCGCAGCCCUCUAGCACAGAGCAGCAGCUGGGGGAGGCAGCCACAGCCUCCUGGUGCUGGUGCCAGGGCUGUGGUACAGGGGACUGGAAGCACUGGAAGCGCUGGAAACGUGCCCCAAGAGGAGUGCUGCUGGGCUCCCCAGCCAGGGCCUCCCUCCUGCGCCAGCCCUGGGAGGAGGGCGCAGCCUCUGGGUGAGAUUUCGGUGUCCAUUAUCUCCUGCUGGCAUCUCGUCCUCACCCACCAGGAAAGGGAGAGCCCACGGCAGCCACCAGCCCCGAGCCCUGGCGGUGUGAUCUAUUAUUUACACCCUUAUUUAAGCCUCCGUGGUCAGAGCUGGGAGGAUGAACGCAGGAACCUCACCAAGGAGCGGCGGGUGGGAAGCCACGGGCAGAGCCCUGCAGGUUGGGUUUGCUUCUGCAGAUCCAGGCACGGAUAACAGCAGAACCCAUGGGGACAAGGAUGGGAGGGGAUGGUGCUGGCUGUGCCAGCAGUGAGGGCAGCCCGAGGAGCAUCCCUGGGUCCUCCCUGGCUUCUCCUGCGACUCGUGCCACCUCCCUGCAACGUGAGGGAAGUCACCGCGCCUCGCACGAAGAAUCGGGCGCAAUUCCUCCAAAGCAUUUAUGCAAACCUCAGACGGCAAUGACACGUCGGCUCGUGUGAUCCUGUUAACAGAUGGUCCGAAGACAGGCUCGAGAUCUGAAUUAGUCCUGGGUUCCUGUAACGUGGCUGGGAGCAUAUGGCCCGAAUGGAUUCGUAUCGGAGCUUUAAUAGCGAAGUAAACUAUCUCAGAUAAAUAAAGGAAAAGGAAGGAGAAAAAAAAACACUUCACCAGCACUCAGACUGUGCUGAAAGGCUGCGGCAGUCCCUCAUCCAGCUCGUGCUUCCUCCCAGCAGCAGACGAGGUUUGGCUGUUGAUGAUCCGGGCAGAAGUGAGCAGCUCUCUGCUGCACAAGCACAGCCUGCACAGCCAGGUGGCUGCCCCUGGGCGCAGCCCGGGAUGGAGAUGUCACAGCAGCGCAGAGGAAAGCCUCGCAGGUGGUGGAGCUGGCUGCCACGCUCGUGGCCUGCGCUUCACCCACCCCGGGCUUGUUUCACAGUGGAUGGAGCUUUUGCCUUGGUGCUGUGGAUCGCAGGAGGAGGGCACAAGUGCUGGAGGAGCAGCGCUGCACUUCGGACAAGGGCCACCACCAAAUCCCUCCCGUGCAGGAUGUCCCCAGCGAGCCCCAGGCUUGUGGCCUGGGGAACAGCUCCACAGAGGCCCUGCUUGUUGCUAAUCCCAUCUGGCAUUUUGUUUUAUUGCAGGGCUACAGGAACGGCGGUGAUGGAUAGCUUGUGUUCUGCCGUUUGUCACACCGCUGCUGCAUGUUUUAUCAGCUGCUGGUUUCGAACUCCAAGCCAUCAGUAGGGUACUAUUUCGGAAAGUGGGACAUCAUACGUUGAUUUCUUAUGGUUUCAUGAAUUCACAAAAUAGUGGGUUUUUUUCUUUUUAUUUCAGCCUUAAUAUGUUUUUUAAGCAGCUUGCCUGUGCUGCUUGGGAUUUCUCUAAAGAACAAACACAGUGUGAUACAUAUGGUGAAAAUGCUGAGCGAUGAUGUUUGAUAAUGCUAAUUAAAUAGCAUGUGAAUAUUAA